UACAGAGGGGGCAAGCGUUGUUCGGAAUUACUGGGCGUAAAGGGCGCGUAGGCGGCCUGUUAAGUCGAACGUGAAAUCCCCGGGCUCAACCCGGGAACUGCGUCCGAUACUGGCAGGCUUGAAUUCGGGAGAGGGAUGCGGAAUUCCAGGUGUAGCGGUGAAAUGCGUAGAUAUCUGGAGGAACACCGGUGGCGAAGGCGGGUCUCUGGGCAACAACUGACGCUGAGGAGCGAAAGCGUGGGGAGCGAACAGG
rnacentral:rRNA from 1 species